UACAUGCAAGUAGAACGCUGAAGACUUUAGCUUGCUAAAGUUGGAAGAGUUGCGAACGGGUGAGUAACGCGUAGGUAACCUGCCUACUAGCGGGGGAAACUAUUGGAAACGAUAGCUAAUACCGCAUAACAGCAUUUAACACAUGUUAGAUGCUUGAAAGGAGCAAUUGCUUCACUAGUAGAUGGACCUGCGUUGUAUUAGCUAGUUGGUGAGGUAACGGCUCACCAAGGCGACGAUACAUAGCCGACCUGAGAGGGUGAUCGGCCACACUGGGACUGAGACACGGCCCAGACUCCUACGGGAGGCAGCAGUAGGGAAUCUUCGGCAAUGGGGGCAACCCUGACCGAGCAACGCCGCGUGAGUGAAGAAGGUUUUCGGAUCGUAAAGCUCUGUUGUAAGAGAAGAACGUGUGUGAGAGUGGAAAGUUCACACAGUGACGGUAACUUACCAGAAAGGGACGGCUAACUACGUGCCAGCAGCCGCGGUAAUACGUAGGUCCCGAGCGUUGUCCGGAUUUAUUGGGCGUAAAGCGAGCGCAGGCGGUUUAAUAAGUCUGAAGUUAAAGGCAGUGGCUUAACCAUUGUUCGCUUUGGAAACUGUUAGACUUGAGUGCAGAAGGGGAGAGUGGAAUUCCAUGUGUAGCGGUGAAAUGCGUAGAUAUAUGGAGGAACACCGGUGGCGAAAGCGGCUCUCUGGUCUGUAACUGACGCUGAGGCUCGAA
rnacentral:rRNA from 1 species